rnacentral:snRNA from 1 species
AUACUUACCUGGACGGGGUCGAUGGGUGAUCAAAAAGUCCCAUGGCCUAGGUUGACAACCUCCAUUGCACUAGGGAGGGGUGCCUGUACCUCAUUUCUUCCCUAGUGGGAGAAUGUACGUCAUAAUUUGUAGUAGUGGGGGUAUGCGUUUGCGCGGCCUCUG